UCACAAAGGACCUGUUAUGACCACAGUGGUAUAGAACCAUCCAGAGGAACACCUGACUCGUUCAGCUCAUGGUCACUAAGUAGAGAGCCUUUUGGCCCCCAAAGGAUUGGGCCAUUUUUCCCACUGCUGUGCCCGCAACCUUUCCCUCUCAACUACUUCAAGAAGGUCUCUGAGCCACAGUUCAUUGCAACUAUCAUGUAAAGCUGCUGCCCUUUCUUUACCCACAUUCUGGGCCCCACACUUUACAGUGAGCCUCAUCAUGCUGGUAGGAGAACUGCUAACAGAUUUCCUAAAUGUGGCUGGUAGCGCUCAAAGCAUCUUAAACAUGUAUCAUUUGCACCGGUAACACAGUGGGCUAGGAAAACCACAGACUCAACCCUGGGGCCAAGCAUAUUCAUGCUCUUCUCCCCCUGGUCACACCUCCAGCGUGGAGCUGAGGGAGGCAUGGGGGGUGGGGGGUGGGGCCUGAGCCACACCUGCCUCCUACAUUUGUGGUCAAGGGAAAAACUCCCUUGAUCACUUAUCACUGUCUGACUCUGGGAAAAAGCAACAAGGUUUCACAUCUCAACAGUAAGUGAAUCUUAGCUCUAUAGCUCAAAUGACAGCAUUAGUCUACUUUCUUCUUGAAGAAACAGUAAGCUACCAGCUGUUGGUGAGGAGUUGGGAUCGGUAGGGCAUAAGAAGCAGCUGCAAAAAAAAAACCCAAUCAAACUUUUCAUUAUGUGGCUGGCCAAGCUCAGGGCCGUCCCACUGUCCCAGUGCAGAACUGCAAGGCAAGUGACUCCUUGACCCUGCCAGUGGGCCCCAUGACAGGGCCUCAGCUGAGCCCAUGUCCCAGACAGGUGAGUGAAGGGACACAUUACAGUAGGAGCCCCGGCUCCUGCUGAUUCUCACCCAUCCCCACCUCCCCUUCUGCUGACUGAACAGCCAAGCCUGGGUCACCUAGUCUAUCACAAGGCCCGGCUCCUGAACAUCAUGAGCCUUCAGAACACGGUUAAAUGGGAUUCUACGCAUUCACUUAAAUAGUAAAAGUAAAAUUUGGAAGAAUGAAAAGGCUAACACAGUAGCACAACAUGGUUUUGGUUUAACAGCAGCUUAAAAAUGAACAAAAAGGAAACCUCUCAUGCAGACAUUUCAGGUGGCAUAAGACAAUUGGCAAUUUAAUACGGUGGGAGCACCGUUAGCCAUUCUCUCUCCCCACCCCCACGCAGGCCUGACUGCUCCCCAAGGGCAGCAGCAGCUGCUCUAGGGUCACAGCUCCAAGCCUCUUGCCCCCGGGCAAAAGCCCUUGCUUGCCGGCCUCCAGCUGACUGACCCCUUCCUAGAGAAAAGCCCAGCUCUCUAGAGAAU
ensembl:lncRNA